UUACGGCCACAUCACACUGAAAUAGCGGUUCCCGUACAAUUACCGAAGUUAAGCAACGUCGAGUCUGGUCUGUACCUAGGUGGGUGACCAUUUGGGAAUACCAGGGGCUGUAU